AGAACGACUCUCGGCAACUGAUAUCUCGGCUCUCACAUCAAUGAAAAACGUAACUAAAUGCGAUACUUGGAGUGAAUUGCACAAUCCCGUGAACCAUCGAGUCUUUGAACGCAAGUUGCGCCCGAGGGCUUCGGCUGAGGGGACGCCUGUCUGGGCGUCACC
rnacentral:rRNA from 1 species